rnacentral:lncRNA from 1 species
UCAGUGUUUGUGAUUCAUCCGCUUCACACUUCAACUCAACAACAAACAUGCCGAGGCCGACCACUUGCUCAGUUUUGGGGUAUUUAACUAUUUAUCACAAAUUACAAACAGGUGAUAUGAAGAACUAAGAAGAAGGUAGAUUCAUUUGUGCAAGAGGUUAAGACUUAAGAAAUGCUGAAACUACUUGGACUAUCAUUACCGAGUUGACCUGAUUAAGAAUGGAGCAAUACCAAUAUUACGUCUCAGGUUUAAAAGGUAAACCUACUUACCGAGUGCCGAUGUUUGGGACAGGUAACCAGUGCCAUGAUCCGGGUUGUGUGCUGACGGAGGGAGACACACUUGUUUGCUUACACCACCUUGACCCUCAUUACCGAGAUCCUAAAAUCGGGAGAGGAAAUGGGGAGUAUCAAAAAUAGGUCCAUCCCUCAAUAAACUACUACAAGACUAAUUAUCACCUGAACAAGUUAACUGAAAUAGAUCUGCUGUGAAGACACCCAGAAGUACAUGGCAUCAACAUUCAACCUCUGUAACCAGCAUCAACAUUCAACCUCUGUAACCUGCAUCAACAUUCAACCUCUGUAACCUGCAU